CGAAGAGUAAGUAUAUCACGUUAAGUGUAGAAGAAUGGGAUGUAGUCUUCUAAAGAAAAAAUUUUUUUUGCGAUGAUAUAUUGCUUCCGCUUUG
rnacentral:ncRNA from 2 species